AAGAAAAGUCGCUUUCAUCUAGGGAUUCGUGGCUAAUUGAUGUAAAAAAAGUAAUUAUUCUCAUAGAUUAUGCAUGUAUGAACACAUUCAGCCCAAGUGGGAGGUUUAAAAAAACUUCACCAAAGUACAGGAGCAUGUCUUUAAGUAAAUAUAUUCCUUUGGAGAGUUCUACACGUUUUAUGGAGAUGGAGACCUUCCACUAUAUACACUACAUGACCAAAAGUUGUGGACACCUGCUUGUUGAACUCUCAUUCCGAAUCAUGGGGUUUAAUAUGGGUUGGUCCCCCCUUUUGCUGUUAUAACAGCCUCCACUCUUCUGGGAAGGCUUUCCACUAGAUGUUGGAACAUUUCUGCGAGUACUUGUUUCCAUUCAGCACACAAGCAUUAGUUUGGUCGGGCACUGAGUUGGGCGAUAAGACCUGGCUCGCAGUCAGCGUUCCAAUAUAUCCCAAAGGUGUUCAAUGGGGUUGAGGUCAGGGCUCUGUGCAGGCCAGUCAAGUUCUUCCACACCGAUCUCRACAAACCAUUCCUGUAUAUACCUCGCUUUGUGCACAGGGGCAUUGUCAUGCUGAAAAAACAUGUUACAUUUCUUAUGCAGUUCCUAACUACAUUUUGUAUGUGUGUAGAUAAGUGGACAGAAUGCAGUCUCCGCUAACGCSAGAAUGUUGCUUUUCAAUCACGCUGAACUUCUGUGACACGGAUUGAAUAGAGCCCCAAAAGAUUUUGAGAAUUUCUGACCAUAAUUGCAGCCAUGAGUGCCAUACUGAAAGCCAGUGAGGAGGAGGUGGAGGAGCUGAAGAGAGAGAAUGCAGUUUGAAGUAAUUUGGCCAACAACUGUUUCUCAUGUGUUGAUUAAAAUUGUAAUUGUAAUUUUUUUGUAGGCAGUUUAUUUUAUGCCUAUUUCUCAUGUGUUUCCUUUCAUAUGAUUUUAGCCCUGGAGACCAUCGUGACAUCCAGUGAGUGACAACACAGCUUUGGAAGCCGUAAAUGAUGUAAUGAUUUCUGAUGUGAACAGUUCUGAUGAAUCAAUAAAGAGCAUMAUUUAAAAAAAAGCCA